rnacentral:rRNA from 1 species
GAUGAACGCUGGCGGCGUGCUUAACACAUGCAAGUCGAACGAUGAAGCCCAGCUUGCUGGGUGGAUUAGUGGCGAACGGGUGAGUAACACGUGAGUAACCUGCCCUUAACUCUUGGAUAAGCCUGGGAAACUGGGUCUAAUACCGGAUAGGAGCGUCCACCGCAUGGUGGGUGUUGGAAAGAUUUAUCGGGUUUGGAUGGACUCGCGGCCUAUCAGCUUGUUGGUGAGGUAAUGGCUCACCAAGGCGACGACGGGUAGCCGGCCUGAGAGGGUGACCGGCCACACUGGGACUGAGACACGGCCCAGACUCCUACGGGAGGCAGCAGUGGGGAAUAUUGCACAAUGGGCGCAAGCCUGAUGCAGCGACGCCGCGUGAGGGAUGACGGCCUUCGGGUUGUAAACCUCUUUCAGUAGGGAAGAAGCGAAAGUGACGGUACCUGCAGAAGAAGCACCGGCUAACUACGUG